rnacentral:tRNA from 1 species
GCAAGGGUGGCGAAAUUGGUAGACGCGCUGGCCUUAGGAGCCAGUCCUCGAAAGAGGAUAGGGGUUCGAGUCCCCUCUCUUGCA